AACGAACGCUGGCGGCGUGUUUAAGACAUGCAAGUCGCACGGGAUAAGACAUGUAGUAACACUUGUUUUAUUUAGUGGCGCACGGGUGAGUAACACGUGAAUUACAUGCCCUAUAGUGGGGAAUAGCCCAGGGAAACUUGGAUUAAUACCCCAUGGUAUCGAAAGAUUAAAGGUGGCCGCAAGGCUGUCGCUAUAGGAUUGGUUCGCGCCCUAUCAGCUUGUUGGUGAGGUCACGGCUCACCAAGGCAAUGACGGGUACCUGGUCUGAGAGGACGAUCAGGCACACUGGAACUGAGACACGGUCCAGACACCUACGGGUGGCAGCAGUCGAGAAUAAUUCACAAUGGGGGCAACCCUGAUGGUGCAACGCCGCGUGGAGGAUGACGGUCUUCGGAUUGUAAACUCCUGUCAUCUGGGAGAAAGACCUGACGGUAAAUAGCCGGCAGGGUUGAUAGUACCAGAAGAGGAAGGGACGGCUAACUUCGUGCCAGCAGCCGCCGUAA
rnacentral:rRNA from 1 species